UUGCUUCAGCAGCACAUAUACUAAAAAUUGGAAUGAUACAGAGAAGAUCAGCAUGGCCCCUGCGUAAGGAUGACACACAAACUCGUGAAGUUCCAUAUUUUUAU
rfam:Tupaia chinensis contig189694, whole genome shotgun sequence.